rnacentral:rRNA from 1 species
AUUGAACGCUGGCGGCAUGCCUUACACAUGCAAGUCGAACGGCAGCGGACCUUCGGGUGCCGGCGAGUGGCGAACGGGUGAGUAAUAUAUCGGAACGUACCUUUCAGUGGGGGAUAACGUAGCGAAAGUUACGCUAAUACCGCAUAUUCUGUGAGCAGGAAAGCAGGGGAUCGCAAGACCUUGCGCUGAUUGAGCGGCCGAUAUCAGAUUAGCUAGUUGGUGAGGUAAAGGCUCACCAAGGCGACGAUCUGUAGCGGGUCUGAGAGGAUGAUCCGCCACACUGGAACUGAGACACGGUCCAGACUCCUACGGGAGGCAGCAGUGGGGAAUUUUGGACAAUGGGCGCAAGCCUGAUCCAGCCAUGCCGCGUGAGUGAAGAAGGCCUGU